GAAGAUACAGCUCAGUGGUAGAGUGCAUGCCUAGCGUGCAAAAGGUCCUGGGCUCAAUCCCCAGUACCUCCA
rnacentral:tRNA from 1 species